rnacentral:rRNA from 1 species
UACGGAGGGUGCGAGCGUUAUUCGGAAUUACUGGGCGUAAAGCGCGUGUAGGCGGGAAGGCAAGUCUGAUGUGAAAGCCCCGGGCUUAACCUGGGAAGUGCAUUGGAAACUGCAAUUCUUGAGUGCUGGAGAGGAAGGGGGAAUUCCCGGUGUAGAGGUGAAAUUCGUAGAGAUCGGGAGGAAUACCAGUGGCGAAGGCGCCCUUCUGGACGGCAACUGACGCUGAGACGCGAAAGCGUGGGGAGCAAACAGG